rnacentral:rRNA from 1 species
UACGUAGGGUGCAAGCGUUAUUCGGAAUUACUGGGCGUAAAGCGUGCGCAGGCGGCUUUGCAAGACAGAUGUGAAAUCCCCGGGCUUAACCUGGGAACUGCAUUUGUGACUGCAUGGCUGGAGUGCGGCAGAGGGAGAUGGAAUUCCGCGUGUAGCAGUGAAAUGCGUAGAUACGCGGAGGAACACCGAUGGCGAAGGCAAUCCCCUGGGCCUGCACUGACGCUCAUGCACGAAAGCGUGGGGAGCAAACAGG